rnacentral:rRNA from 1 species
GUCUAUGGCCAUACCACCCUGAAUACACAGAAUCUCAUCUGAUCUCCGAAGCUAAGCAGGGUUGGGCCUGGUUAGUAAUUGGAUGGGAGAAUUUAUCUGUAGUUC